AAAUGCUGGCAUGAGUAGCGAGAGCGGCGUGGGAAACGCCGCCGCCGUAAACCCAAGGUUUCCCGGGCGAGGCUAAUCCCCCCGGGGUCAGUCGGGAGCUAAGGCGAGGCCGGAAGGCGUAGCCGAUGCACAGCGGGUCGACAUUCCCGCACCCCCGACGCGGAGUCUGACCGAAGGCGUGACGGAGGAGGGUAGCCGGACGGGGUUCUGGACGUCCCCGCGAUGGCGCGUAGGGCGAUGCCUUGUGAAACGCGGGCAUCACGUGGCCUGAGGCGCCGGACGAAGCGAGCGAGCGAAGCCGGUGAGCCCAUGCUCCCAAGAAAAGCACCUAGGGAUCCGCUAGGGGCCCGUACCGCAAACCGACACAGGUGGGUGGGUAGAACAUACCAAGGCGAUCGGGAGAACCAUGGUUAAGGAACUCGGCAAAACUGCCCCGUAACUUCGGGAGAAGGGGUGCCGGCGUGGCGUGGAGGGGCUUGCCCCCCGAGCGCGGGCCGGCCACAGCGAAGAGGUCCAGACGACUGUUUAUCAAAAACACAGGACUCUGCUCAAGCCGUAAGGCGACGCAUAGGGUCUGACGCCUGCCCGGUGCCGGAAGGUCACGGGGAGCGGUCAACCUCCGGGUGAAGCCGCGAACCCAAGCCCCGGUAAACGGCGGCCGUAACUAUAACGGUCCUAAGGUAGCGAAAUUCCUUGUCGGGUAAGUUCCGACCUGCACGAAAGGCGCAACGAUUUGGACGCUGUCUCGACCAUGGCCCCGGCGAAAUUGCACUAGUCGUGAAGAUGCGACUUACCCGCGGAAGGACGGAAAGACCCCGUGAACCUUUACUGCAGCUAGGCAUUGGCUGCCGGACCGUCGCGUAGAGGAUAGGUGGGAGGCAACGAACCGAGGGCGCCAGCCCCCGGGGAGCCACCCUUGGAAUACCACCCCCGACGCUCUGGCAUCCUAACCCCACGCCCUGACCGGGGUGGGGGACCGUGCCUGGUGGGUAGUUUGACUGGGGCGGUCGCCUCCCAAAGAGUAACGGAGGCGCGCGCAAGGUCUGCUCGGGACGGUCGGCAACCGUCCUCAAGAGUGCAAGAGCGUAAGCAGGCUUGACUGCGAGGCCAACAAGCCGAGCAGGUGGGAAACCAGGCUCUAGUGAUCCGGCGGCCCAGAGUGGAAUGGCCGUCGCUCAACGGAUAAAAGGUACUCCGGGGAUAACAGGCUGAUCUUCCCCAAGAGUCCACAUCGACGGGAAGGUUUGGCACCUCGAUGUCGGCUCAUCGCAUCCUGGGGCUGGAGCAGGUCCCAAGGGUAUGGCUGUUCGCCAUUCAAAGCGGUACGCGAGCUGGGUUCAGAACGUCGUGAGACAGUUCGGUCCCUAUCCUCCGUGGGCGCAGGAAGAUUGAGGGAGGCUGCCCCUAGUACGAGAGGACCGGGGUGGACGGACCUCCUGUGCACGGGUUGUCGACCAACGGCACCGCCCGGUAGCAGAGUCCGGUCUGGAUAACCGCUGAAGGCAUCUAAGCGGGAAGCCAGUCCCGAGAUGAGUCUUCCCUUCGGUAAGGGCCCUCGUAGACCACGAGGUCGAUAGGGCGCAGGUGCAAGCGCGGCGACGCGCUCAGCCGAGCGUCACUAAUAGCCCGAGCUC
rnacentral:rRNA from 1 species